AAAUCUUCUUUUUUCCUCUUGUAAAAGAGUAUUAUCUAAAUGGUUCUUGGCAGCUGAUGAUAAGAGCACAGCCUGUAAUACAUUUCUCCAAUUAAUCUCAGGCAAAAAGCCAGAUGUUACUGCUGUUCAGUUUCCCAAGCCUAUAGGAGAGCUUGGACUAUUUUUUUUUUCUCCUUUGUUUCUUACCACUACAGAGGUGGAGGGAGUCAGCAUUAACCUAAGUUUUACUAUAAGCAUUUGCUGAGAUACAAGGUAAAAUGGAAACAGCAUCCUCUUCACUGACUCUUCUGAAGAGGCUGGAUGUGGGACAUGCUGAGCCUGGGACUAUAUUCACUGAGAUGUACUUCCCUUUUGAGCUGACAGGAACUAGUGAAGCAGUGAAGUUGCUGUCACCGAAGGCAAGUUUUCCUAGUGGUGUAGUUUUAUGGAAAAUAUAUUUCUUACUAUUUCCGUUCCUCCUAUCUGAUGGGAUACAUUUUUAUUCUAAAGCGUGAUGGAAGGUCUACUUUUUCCCAGUCACUGCACAUAUUUAAAGAGAAUUUUAAGAGCAUAUGACAAGAUUUCAACUCUUGAAAACGUCAGGUGUAUCUACAGUGUGGAUGCUACACCACAUGGAUAGGAGCUCUUACCAAAGCCCUGCCUACUGUAAAUCCUUGCAAUUUCUGUGGAAUACAAGCACUGUCACUAUGUAGCUUAUGUUCUUUCAGCCUAACGUUAUUGUAUCUGGAACAAAUAUGGAAGGACUUGAUCAUUAAAUUAGAUUUUCAUGAGCUUCUGAGCAGAACAGUCCAGCUAAGGGUUUGCUAGUAAAUGCAUUUGCUUCUUUAACUGUGCAUACAAAACUAAACAGUUUCUGUCAAAAGCUGAAUGAACUAAACAGUAAAAAUAUAAUACUGGCAAUCUACCCCAGAUGAGUAUGUCUGGCAUCCUAAUGAAUACAGGCUUGUAUUAGACAUCAGAUUUUACAAGCUGUCUUAGAAUGACUGCCUUGUACUACUGCAUACACAUCAUUUUCUGUUGUCUCUGGUAUGCUGUACAUAGACUUGGUUAGUUUUUCAUUUGGUCCUCUUUGGUUGGAGGUACAAGACUUGUGAGAACCGUGAUAAUGAAGAAAGAGAAAAGCACUAUAUUAUGGGUGUUAAUCAUCUGCUUCCCACAGAAAAAGAAGCAAACAAAAAGAAUACUUCAGUAUUCUGCUUAGAGGAUAGUGCAAGAGUUAUAAGGAUAUAAUGUGCAUUCAAUGCUUUAAUUCAUCCAAAUUUAACUGAAUUUGAGAUUUAUUUUUUUUUUCUUCUCCUAUUAUUUUCAUGAGGUGAAUUGUUGAGAUACUUCUGAACAGGUCUCAUGAGCUUCAUGAGGUCUUCUUUGUUUGCUUCAAAAGACCACAGGGCAGAAAGGAACCACCUCAGGUAGGAGGAAGUAUUAUAAUAAUCCACGUGGCUUGAGUUUACAAAGAGAAGUAUAAGUGUUUGUCAGAUGUUUGGAACCAGUUAUCUCUUAUCCUGAAAUGAUUCCGGAACAUAGCUGUUUCCCUUGGGAUCCCCUUCUGAACAAGAGAUAUUGCCUAAGACUGAAAUGAAUUGGAAAACGAUGAGAGCUAAACUGAGUGUCACCUUUAAUCCUGUGAAAUGUAAACCACAAAUGUUGUCUUUUUUUUUUCUUUUUUUUUUUUUUCCCUAAAACAUUGAAAACCUCGCAGAGAUCUUCAAAUCUAAGAGAAUAAAACCAAAUUCCCUUACA
ensembl:lncRNA